ensembl:antisense Gm29245 predicted gene 29245
GUGAGUAAAAUAUUAUCAUGAAGCAAGGUCCAGACAAAAAGGGGCCCAGAUGUGGUCCCAACUGAACCACCUACCUCUGAAUAAGGCCAACCGACAGACCUAAGCCUGCUCAGCAAUUCCAAAAGACUAAUGUCUAGCCAGCGGCUUGGACGUGUAUGUGUGUGUGUGUGUGUGUGUGUGUGUGUGUAAUUGAGGGGGGUUAUAAGGUCUUACUUAGCAAGCAGUUUUUAUUAAAAAAUCCAUCCCCAGUGCCUUGCUUCCAUUCUCAAAUGGGGUGAGGGUGGGGGAGGGAGAUGCAGUGGGGAAAUGCUGUAUAGUCUUCCUGCUUGAUUACCAGAGCCUUUCCGGAACGUAAUUCUCUCUGAAUGAAAUCUCAAAGGAUUGAGCCUGUGCUAAAGUUUCUAGUAUGAGAGCUGCACCAAGGUGAUAAUGCAAUUAACCUGAGUAAUACUUCAAACGUCUUGCUAAUAUAUACAUCAUGUAUAUGUAUAUGUAUAUGUAUAUGUAUAUGUAUAUGUAUAUGUAUAUGCAUAUGUAUAUGUGUGUGUGUGUAUAUGUAUGUGAUGUAUAUGUAUAUGAUGUAUAUGUAUGUGUAUAUGUAUUGACAGUUUAGACUGUGUUCAUAGUGUGAUUUCAAAAAUUAGCCUCAGAGGUUUGUGAAUUUGCUCAAAUUAAAAGGAUAAAGAUGUGUCAGUAUAAGAAGAACCGGCUGGCUCUUCUUAAUAUUUUCUAAUAUCGCUUAACAGCAUUCUGAACGGCUGCACUGCAGCCUUUCUCGGUUCACUUCCUAGACUCUGCAGCAAAAGUCUGUGAUUAUUAUUUAAGGAUCACGGUGAUUCCCUUCACGGCAUGGGGGAAUAAAGAAAAGCAAGAGCAGGGCUAUUAUCCUGUGUUUAUAACAAGUCUGUUGCCAUAGUAACGCCUGUGAUGUCACAAAUGCUACACCCAGGGCCAGAAGCUGUCUCCGAGGGGGAGGGGCAGCUUGGCCUUGGAAAAUGGACACAAGCAUUCCAGGCCAAAGCAGGGUCAACAGCGAGGUAAUCAUGGAAACACAGGGAGCUCCCUUCACCAGAGAAAGGAAGGGGGUGGAGCAGGGCCAGAAAAGCAACUCCCUGGGCCCAGAAGUGAGCUCACGCAUGCUUCUUAUACGCAGCUGUGCAAAGGGAGUGGAAAUCCAAGCGAAUGUGGUACCUCUGUGUUCCCAGUCAGGAUCACUCCACUGGGCUCACUGGCUGCCAAGACGUGAAUGGGAUCCAGGGUCUGCCCUAGCUCACGAAACUGCCGGGAACCAGUGCCUGCCCAGACAGAGCCUCUAAGGCCCGCAAGAGAUGCAAGUGCCUCACAUGGCAGCCCCUGAGAGCCUAGCUAGGACAUUCCCACCAAAAGUCAUCAAACUCAGAGAGCCACAGAUUCUCA